UGCUAAUACCGGAUAACAACAGAUGAUGCCUAUCAACUGUUUAAAAGAAUGGUUCUGCUAUCACUCUUGGAUGGACCUGCGGUGCAUUAGCUAGUUGGUAGGGUAACGGCCUACCAAGGCGAUGAUGCAUAGCCGAGUUGAGAGACUGAUCGGCCACAUUGGGACUGAGACACGGCCCAACUCCUACGGGAGGCAGCAGUU
rnacentral:rRNA from 1 species